UACGAAGGGGGCUAGCGUUGUUCGGAAUCACUGGGCGUAAAGGGCGCGUAGGCGGCCGAUCAAGUCGGGGGUGAAAGCCUGUGGCUCAACCACAGAAUUGCCUUCGAUACUGUUUGGCUUGAGACCGGAAGAGGUUAGUGGAACUGCGAAGUGUAGAGGUGAAAUUCGUAGAUAUUCGCAAGAACACCAGUGGCGAAGGCGGCUGACUGGUCC
rnacentral:rRNA from 1 species